rnacentral:rRNA from 1 species
UACGUAGGGAGCAAGCGUUGUCCGGAAUUACUGGGCGUAAAGCGCACGCAGGCGGUUUGUUAAGUCAGAUGUGAAAUCCCCGAGCUUAACUUGGGAACUGCAUUUGAAACUGGCAAGCUAGAGUCUUGUAGAGGGGGGUAGAAUUCCAGGUGUAGCGGUGAAAUGCGUAGAGAUCUGGAGGAAUACCGGUGGCGAAGGCGGCCCCCUGGACAAAGACUGACGCUCAGGUGCGAAAGCGUGGGGAGCAAACAGG